rnacentral:rRNA from 1 species
AGUGAACGCUGGCGGUAGGCCUAACACAUGCAAGUCGAACGGCAGCACAGUAAGAGCUUGCUCUUACGGGUGGCGAGUGGCGGACGGGUGAGGAAUACAUCGGAAUCUACUUUUUCGUGGGGGAUAACGUAGGGAAACUUACGCUAAUACCGCAUACGACCUACGGGUGAAAGCAGGGGAUCUUCGGACCUUGCGCGAUUGAAUGAGCCGAUGUCGGAUUAGCUAGUUGGCGGGGUAAAGGCCCACCAAGGCGACGAUCCGUAGCUGGUCUGAGAGGAUGAUCAGCCAAACGGGAACGGAGAAACGGUCCAGCCUCCUACGGGAGGCAGGAGGGGGGAAUUUUGGAAAAUGGGCGCAAGCCUGAUCCAGCCAUACCGGGUGGGUGAAGAAGGCCUUCGGGUUGUAAAGCCCUUUUUUUGGGAAAAAAAAGCAGCAGGUUAAAACCCCGCUGUUCUGACGGUACCCAAAGAAAAAGCACCGGCUAACUUCGU